rnacentral:rRNA from 1 species
UGGGGAAUAUUGGACAAUGGGCGCAAGCCUGAUCCAGCCAUGCCGCGUGUGUGAAGAAGGCCUUUUGGUUGUAAAGCACUUUAAGCGAGGAGGAGGCUACUUGGAUUAAUACGCUAGGAUAGUGGACGUUACUCGCAGAAUAAGCACCGGCUAACUCUGUGCCAGCAGCCGCGGUAAUACAGAGGGUGCGAGCGUUAAUCGGAUUUACUGGGCGUAAAGCGUGCGUAGGCGGCUUCUUAAGUCGGAUGUGAAAUCCCUGAGCUUAACUUAGGAAUUGCAUUCGAUACUGGGAAGCUAGAGUAUGGGAGAGGAUGGUAGAAUUCCAGGUGUAGCGGUGAAAUGCGUAGAGAUCUGGAGGAAUACCGAUGGCGAAGGCAGCCAUCUGGCCUAAUACUGACGCUGAGGUACGAAAGCAUGGGGAGCAAACAGG